rnacentral:lncRNA from 1 species
UGGACAGACAAAGCUGUAUUUAGUUUACUGUGUUAAAUUUUAAAUAAUACCCUAACAGUUUUGUUUAUCAACAUGUGAAUUUUUUUAUUUCAGUGUUCACAUGUUCUGAAGAGCAUUCUGUUGAAAAAUCUUAUAUGUGAAUUGGUCUGCAGAUGACACUUCAGCAUUAAAGUAAGUAUCAACUAUCAUCAUGUUUUUUUGUGUUUUUUUGGCCGCAAAAGUUUACAAUUUGCCAUUGUGCCAUCUACAUUUUGCACAGACAAUAAAUCAUCUAAACACUUAUUUUGCCCUGGAUUUAUACACAUCAGAAUCCAGUCUCACAUACUUAAACUUUAUAAUUCUUACCAAUUAUUUUUUGUACCAGCAUUCCAAGGGACAUAACCCUUUUUAAAAACAUUUUGAGGUAUUUUUUAUUACUCUUUCUCCCCAUUUUCUAAUGUAAAAUACAAGAAAGUGGACACUUUGUGUAAAUCUAUUAGAAAUAUACUGUUAUGAGUAAAUAAAAAGACUUUGAUACCAGUAACAAUAAAUGGUUGACUGAAAGGGAACCGUUAUUUGUCACACUAGGCGAACAGACUAAAAACUCGAGUUACACAUAAGGGCUUCUAGAAACUUCCGUGUAGACUGUUAACAUGUAUAGAGACAGUUCUUUCAGCUAAAACACUUUAAUUAUUGAUUUAACAUUACAUUUAUAUCAUUUUUGUGGGGAAAUAAUCACAUUUGUUUUAUUUUUUAGACAAAAGAUAUCAAGUUUUGAUGAAAAAGGAAGGAAGGAGGAAAAAUGGACCGAAAAGAGACCAAAACAGACCUUCAAAUGAACUCUAAAAGGUGCAAUAAAAUUGUUUAUCAUCUAAAAGUUGUCUUUUGUAUUCUAUUUAAUUGUUUGAAUGCAUAGAUCAUGAGUUUUUGAUCAGAUAUUAGUCAACACUGCAUUUUAUAAUGAUACACUGAAAUUUGGAUUUGUCGAAGAAAUAAGACUGAAAUUGCCGUAGGAUAUGGCCUUACAUUAUAAUGAUUUUCUCUGAAACUAUAGAUCUGACUGAGACAAAACUUGGCAGUUAUGCUUGAAAUAACUUGCAGUUGGAGGGAAAAAAUUACAUUAAGUUUAUUUGACAUUUAGGUGUUCUUUAGGUGUAAUACCACCAAAUCAUGAUACGCCACAUCCGGUUGCAUACGAAAGUAGGUCUAAAAAAAUAUUCCCUUGAAUUUGACAGUUGUAGAAAAUUAACCCUGCAUUUCAAUGCACUUAAAUUUUUCUGAGUCAUAAACAUGUAUGUUGGGUGUCUGAAAGCAUCAUUCUUUUUUUAUUUGAUGGUCUUAUAAAAUAUUUUGGAAAGUUAAGGUUACAUAGUUGCCAAAGCAGGUAACCAGUAAAUAACCUGGUAAAAAUGUGAUUGUUUACUUCCGGUGCAGGUUACUUUCUUAUAUGCAAUGAAAUGUAGUGUGAAAUUUUCACUGUAGCACUGGAAAGGAUUAAACUUUAUUCAUGCAAAGUAUUUCUUUGGUUGAAAUAAAGGUAAAUUCUGUACAUUUUUUUUAAAAGUACCAAUUUAACAAAGACUAAUAGGGAAAAAUCAAUGGUGGUAUUACACCUAUUUAGGGAAACUACAUGUGCACUCGUGACCUUAUUGUACUUUCAUUUUUAAAAGUUAUUAAUAAACCAGUUCAUACAUUGUAAACAUGGACUAUUCGGAAUGGAUUGAGACACAGAAAGCACGUUUGAGGUAAAAUUGCCUUGAAAUGGGGGUUUACGGGUGUUUUUAAGUCAAAUGGGUGGACAGACAAAGCUGUAUUUAGUUUACUGUGUUAAAUUUUAAAUAUACCCUAACAGUUUUUGUUUAUACAACAUGUGAAUUUUUUAUUUCAGUGUUCACAUGUUCUGAAGAGCAUUCUGUUGAAAAAUCUUAUAUGUGAAUUGGUCUGCAGAUGACACUUCAGCAUUAAAGUAAGUAUCAACUAUCAUCAUGUUUUUUGUGUUUUUUUGGCCGCAAAAGUUUACAAUUUGCCAUUGUGCCAUCUACAUUUUGCACAGACAAUAAAUCAUCUAAAACACUUAUUUGCCCUGGAUUUAUACACAUCAGAAUCCAGUCUCACAUACUUAAACUUUAUAAUUCUUACCAAUUAUUUUUUGUACCAGCAUUCCAAGGGACAUAACCCUUUUUAAAAACAUUUUGAGGUAUUUUUUAUUACUCUUUCUCCCAAUUUUCUAAUGUAAAUACAAGAAAGUGGACACUUUGUGUAAAUCUAUUAGAAAUAUACUGUUAUGAGUAAAUAAAAAGACUUUGAUACCAGUAACAAUAAAUGGUUGACUGAAAGGGAACCGUUAUUUGUCACACUAGGCGAACAGACUAAAAACUCGAGUUACACAUAAGGGCUUCUAGAAACUUCCGUGUAGACUGUUAACAUGUAUAGAGAACAGUUCUUUCAGCUAAAACACUUUAAUUAUUGAUUUAACAUUACAUUUAUAUCAUUUUUGUGGGGAAAUAAUCACAUUUGUUUUAUUUUUUAGACAAAAGAUAUCAAGUUUUGAUGAAAAAGGAAGGAAGGAGGAAAAAUGGACCAAAG